ensembl:lncRNA
GGAAUUGAAAUGUUCAGUUUAAAGUAAAUAUAGGACUCAUUUUUGUAGAAAUAUGCCAAACAUAUAUACAUAUUUUUACAGGUGAUUAUUUAUUCAUGCAAAAUAUCUGCAGCGAGUCUGUGGUUAAAAGUAAAUUGCUAAAUAAAACUGAAAUAUUAUAAACUCACCAUCGGCUCUUUAUAAUCCCUUAAUUUCUGAAGGACAAAAUCUGUGUGACUCAGUGUACUUCACGCGUCCCAUCAAAUGACUGAAGGACUUUGGACCGCUACCGUGCCAAAUGGAGAGCUGGAGAGCCGACGGGCGCGCAGGAAAUGCCAAGAAAGUGAGUUUCUCGAUCAGAGCGUAAUCCCCUCCUUUCUUUCCAGGUAGAAAAAAAGUCUAAACGAUAUAAACUUCGGAGGAAUUUAAACCUUGCAAAUAUUUGCUUGAACACUUUUUUUUACGCAAUUCCAAAUGAAAGCGCACGCCGGUCUGACGCUCCUAUCCAGAGGGUCUGUCCACUGUACCGCCUUUUGAGGCGCUUGGUCCAUGGGCAGUCCUAGUCUACACCUGUUAGAUUUCUCUCUCUCUCGCUCUCUCUCUCUCUCGCUCUCUCUCUCCCCCCCUCUCUCUCUCUCUCUCUCGCGCUAUCCCCGUUUUGUUUUCUCUUUUUUCUUUUUUGGUUUGUUUGUUUUUUUGCUAAAACGGAUGUUUUUUGUUAAAUUCUUUUUUAUACACACUCACAAUAGCAAAUAUUAUUAUUUCAUUAUUAUGGCUGUUGUAUUAUGUUGCUGUUGUUCAUAUUGUCAUUAUGCUGCAUUUAUUUACCUUCAAACUGACACAAAUGUGGACUCAAUCACACAUAUUGUUCCAUCUGUAUCUCGCUAGCCCGACAUUCACCUGUUGUUAGAGGCAAACUCUUUGCAAGCAAAAUGUUUGAUAGAGUGUUGCAAAAGGAAGGCAGAUGUUUUCAUCUUCUGUGUGCCAGGCAAGGGAGGACAGAGCAUGGUGACUAAGUAAAAGCUGCCUCGGCAUGAUGUGUGAGGAAUGGAGAGGAGACACUAAAUGUUCCCCAGACCAUUGUCUGUGUGUGUGACUCGCAUCCCACUGCUAUAAAGCCUCAUUAGUGAGACACCCUGCCCCAGACAUUGUGCUGCUCUUUUUCUUUUACCUAAAAACUCACACACAGGCACAUAUAAUACCUCCACUUCAGUGUUUAUACACAUGCAUCCUAGUGGAUGUACGGACAAAGAGAUUUUACACCAUUAAUUCUGGAAAGGCAAGUUUUGCAUCCUUGUAUCAGCAUUCCCUACAGUUCUAGUUACCACGGCAUCACUUUCACUGGUGGUCACAUUUCAUUUCAGAAACAUAUUGGGCAGAUUUUUAGUUCAUAUCAUCAUUUCCUUGGAGUCUUGUGUCACCUGUCUGACAGGCACAAUCACACAUCUGCGAGUUUAAAGUUUAAUGGCCGAAGCAGUGGCAGCAAGGGGAAUAGGUCUGCAUUCAGUAUUG